UCGGGGCAUAAUAGAACAUUUUAAUUAGGUAUUACUCUUUGUUCGAUUGAAUGAGAAAAAGUACUCGUUGUAAAUUUAUACUGUUAGGGCGCAAUUGAGUAGCUUAAUGUUGUUCCGGUUUUCGUUCUUGUUAACGUGGACAUCUAAUUUACCCUCUCGGGGCAUAAUAGAACAUUUUAAUUAGGUUUUACUCUUUGUUCGAUAGAAUGAGAAAAAGUACUCAUUUCAAAUUUAUACUGUUAGGGCGGAAUUGAGUAGCUUAAUGUUGUUCCGGUAUUCGUUCUUGUGAACUUGGACAUCUAAUUUACCCUCUCGGGGCAUAAUAGAAUAUUUUAAUUAGGUAUUACUCUUUGUUCGAUUGAAUGAGAAAAAGUACUCGUUGCAAAUUUAUACUGUUAGGGCACAAUUGAGUAGUAUAAUGUUGUUCGGGUUCUCGUUCUUGUGAAUGCGGACAUCUAAUUUACCCUCUCGGGGCAUUAUAGAACAUUUUAAUUUGGUAUUACUCUUUGUUCGAUUGAAUGAGAAAAAGUACUCUUUACAAAUUUAUACUGUUUUGCCGCAAUUGAGUUGUCCAGUUUUUUUCCGGUUUUCGUUGUUGUGAACGUGGACAUCUAAUUUAACCUCUCGGGGCAUAAUAGAAUAUUUUAAUUAGGUUUUACUCUUUGUUCGAUAGAAUGAGAAAA
rnacentral:lncRNA from 1 species